rnacentral:rRNA from 1 species
AGCUAAUGCCUUUACUGGUGUUGGUUUCAAGAACUUGUCUAAACCUUAUCAUUUAGAGGAAGGUGAAGUCGUAACAAGGUUUCCGUAGGUGAACCUGCGGAAGGAUCAUUACCACACAAUAAUCCAAACCGCGCUUACAUUAAACCCAUAGGCUCUGGCCCUGCUAACUAGUGGUAAACCCCUCUGUAACCCAUCGAGUCUCUCUGGUGUUUACGACCUUAUAAGAUCUCAUUAUGUGCCACUGCCGUGAUGAUGCAACCUGGAGGCCAACGAGUACGAUCCACCAAUUUAAAUUCAAUCGACAGCUUGACGAGAGUCAAGUUUAAAAGUAUAACAUUCCAAUACAACUUUCAGCAAUGGAUGUCUNGGUUCCCAACACAAUGAAGAACACAGCGAAAUGUGAUACGUAAUACGAAUUGCAAGACUUUGUGAAUCAUUGAAUUUUUGAACGCAUAUUGCGCUGCCAGAUUCUUUCUGGGAGCAUACACGACAGAGUAUCAUCAAACCCCAAUCUAUAACAUUAUUUGUUAUGGGCAAGUGAAGUUGGCUUUAAACAAAGCACUCCUUCUAAGUUAUUUAGUGCAGAGGUAUUUUCACAUUGUAGGAAACUCAGUGUAUUUGUUUCAACGUGCUAUUGGUCAAAAUUCACUUUUUGACUGUCUUCUUAACUGAUCUCUGGCUGUGUAGGACUACCCGCUGAAUUU